CCAGCUCCAAUAGCGUAUACUAAAGUUGUUGCAGUUAAAAAGCUCGUAGUUGAAUUUCUGAUAAUGUCAUAUAAAUUUUAUAUGAAUAGUUCUUAAUUGAAUUAUUUUCAUAUAAAACAUUAUCAUCAUCGAAAAUAUUAUAUUGGUCAUUAAAUUGUCUAGUAUAAGAUUUUUGUCAUUUACUGUGAGCAAAAUAGAGUGUUCAAAGCAGGCUUAGGCCGUUGAAUACAUUAGCAUGGAAUAAUAAUAUAAGAUUUUGAUAUAAAUUUUAUUUUGUUGGUUUAUAUAUCAAAAUAAUGAUUAAUAGGGAUAGUUGGGGGUAUUUGUAUUCAAUUGUCAGAGGUGAAAUUCUUGGAUUUAUUGAAGACAAACUACUGCGAAAGCAUUUACCAAGGAUGUUUUCA
rnacentral:rRNA from 1 species